CGGAGGUGCAGGGGGUUGGCUCUGGGCAAACAAAAGGCACCGCGAUCUACCUUUCUUGGAUGCCCUGCGCCGGAUCUUCAUCUUGGGGAAGGAAGGCCAGGAGUAGUUGAAAGAUAUGGAAAUGAAGAAGGAAGAAAGCCCAGACGAGAAGAGUGCUGCCUGCAAAUCAAGGAAAGCUCCCUAAGGCAGGCGCACGUUUCUCGCUGAGAGCUAGGAAAUUGUUUCUUAGGAAAGCUGUGCAGAGCUGCGUGGUGAAGGCUGAAGUUUCUAUGUGGAUAGUCUGCAGCCAGCCUACUCCAGGAUCCAUAUCUCCCGAGAAGCUGGUCAUCCACACCAUCCUUGGGAAGGCACAGCGAGAUGUGUGACCCAUAAGAUCAAGCUGAGUAGCCAUGGUCUACAGAGGAGUCUCUUUAAAGCACUCCUUGAAGAAGGAGGAAUGCCAAGAAAUCCCACACUUUGCUGUGUUUGUGAAGUCUAGGGAUGCUCAGAAAAACUCAAGGAAACAGCACGAGGAGCCAUUUAACCUGCAGGCUUGGACCAUGACAGUGUGUGUCUUCAUUAGCAUUCAUCUCUUUACUUCCACUAUUUCUCCAACUGUUGGCAGAGAGCUGUGCUGUGGAAGAAAUAGCUUCACACAGGCUGCUCUGUGGCAGCUAAUCCUCUGUGAUUAGGGAGGAGUGAGUGAGGGGCAAAGGCAGAGAUAGAAUCUACUGGAGUGUGAAUCCAAGUCAAAAUCAGAAUUAUGUAAACUGCUCCUGUGGUUUCAUACGGUUUUCUAUAGAACUGGAAAACUAGGACAAAAUACAACUAGAAUAUAGCUGCGAGGAUUGAACCUAAAGGAAAAAUGAGUAACUUUCUAUUUUGUAGCCUUUUUGUUUGAAGAAUAAAUUACAUAUUUUUCUUAAACAGAUGGGCACAAUUGUAAGAAUAAAUUACUCUCAGCUUUUAA